CCUACGGGAGGCUGCAGUGGGGAAUAUUGGACAAUGGGCGAAAGCCUGAUCCAGCCAUGCCGCGUGUGUGAAGAAGGCCUUCGGGUUGUAAAGCACUUUCAGUGGGGAAGAAAGCCUUGGGGCUAAUACCCUCGAGGAAGGACAUCACCCACAGAAGAAGCACCGGCUAACUCCGUGCCAGCAGCCGCGGUAAUACGGGGGGUGCGAGCGUUAAUCGGAAUUACUGGGCGUAAAGCGCGCGUAGGCGGUCUGAUAAGCCGGUUGUGAAAGCCCCGGGCUCAACCUGGGAACGGCAUCCGGAACUGUCAGGCUAGAGUGCAGGAGAGGAAGGUAGAAUUCCCGGUGUAGCGGUGAAAUGCGUAGAGAUCGGGAGGAAUACCAGUGGCGAAGGCGGCCUUCUGGACUGACACUGACGCUGAGGUGCGAAAGCGUGGGUAGCAAACAGGAUUAGAUACCCGGGUAGUC
rnacentral:rRNA from 1 species